rnacentral:rRNA from 1 species
UACGGGGGGGGCAAGCGUUGUUCGGAAUUACUGGGCGUAAAGGGCUCGUAGGCGGCCAACUAAGUCAGACGGGAAAUCCCUCGGCUUAACCGGGGAACUGCGUCUGAUACUGGAUGGCUUGAGUUUGGGAGAGGGAUGCGGAAUUCCAGGUGUAGCGGUGGAAUGCGCAGAUAUCAGGAAGAACACCAACGGCGAAGGCAGCUCGCUGGGACGGUACUGACGCUGAGACGCGAAAGCGUGGGGAGCGAACAGG